rfam:Trichobilharzia regenti genome assembly, scaffold: TRE_scaffold0015333
AUCCAGAUGACAAGUCCCAAAUGGGGUGAAAUGCGCAUCUUGGAU